UAAAAACUAAACAACAUAAAGCCAAAGUGGAAAUAAAUACUGCAUUCAACCAAACGAGUGCAGAUUAUGAAGUCUGUUUGUGCCCUUCAGUAAUCUCUAGAUUUAAAUAGAGAAGAAAU